AGCGGGGAUAGGGUGCUUGCACCUGAUUCCUAGCGGCGGACGGGUGAGUAAUGCUUAGGAAUCUGCCUAUUAGUGGGGGACAACGUUCCGAAAGGGACGCUAAUACCGCAUACGUCCUACGGGAGAAAGCAGGGGAUCUUCGGACCUUGCGCUAAUAGAUGAGCCUAAGUCGGAUUAGCUAGUUGGUGGGGUAAAGGCCUACCAAGGCGACGAUCUGUAGCGGGUCUGAGAGGAUGAUCCGCCACACUGGGACUGAGACACGGCCCAGACUCCUACGGGAGGCAGCAGUGGGGAAUAUUGGACAAUGGGGGGAACCCUGAUCCAGCCAUGCCGCGUGUGUGAAGAAGGCCUUUUGGUUGUAAAGCACUUUAAGCGAGGAGGAGGCUUACCUGGUUAAUACCUGGGAUAAGUGGACGUUACUCGCAGAAUAAGCACCGGCUAACUCUGUGCCAGCAGCCGCGGUAAUACAGAGGGUGCAAGCGUUAAUCGGAUUUACUGGGCGUAAAGCGCGCGUAGGUGGCUAAUUAAGUCAAAUGUGAAAUCCCCGAGCUUAACUUGGGAAUUGCAUUCGAUACUGGUUAGCUAGAGUAUGGGAGAGGAUGGUAGAAUUCCAGGUGUAGCGGUGAAAUGCGUAGAGAUCUGGAGGAAUACCGAUGGCGAAGGCAGCCAUCUGGCCUAAUACUGACACUGAGGUGCGAAAGCAUGGGGAGCAAACAGGAUUAGAUACCCUGGUAGUCCAUGCCGUAAACGAUGUCUACUAGCCGUUGGGGCCCUUGAGGCUUUAGUGGCGCAGCUAACGCGAUAAGUAGACCGCCUGGGGAGUACGGUCGCAAGACUAAAACUCAAAUGAAUUGACGGGGGCCGGGAGCACCCCUCGUGCCGUGUGAGUUUGCUUCUAAGACUACACAAAAGAAGAGUAGCACCCCCAUGUAGUACAGGACCAACUUAGUAAAUAAGAGUAGGUGGGAUUGCUGCCCGCAGAGUACUACUCAAUCAGGGUCGG
rnacentral:rRNA from 1 species